rnacentral:lncRNA from 1 species
UGACUGUCAUUAUGGUCAGACUGUGCAUCUAGACUAGAAUAUUCUAGAAGAUGUAGUCAUCAUGCUGUGCUUGUGCCAAAGAUUGUGCUGAGUCCUAGGAACAGUGUGAGGAGCACUUUCAGACCCAGGCCCCAGUAUAGACUGUGAUCCCUAGCACACAGGUAUGGAAACUAUGAAACUAUGAGGUGGAGCUUUCACUUCAGUGAUGCAGUCAGCCAAAAAACUGCUGCUUAUUGUCCCACUCUGGCUACCAUGAUGGUCAAAUGAAGUGAUUUAUAGCAGCACAUUUAGUCUGAACGGAAACCAACCUCCUUCAGAGCUAGUCUACAGAGACUAUCUAUGGCUGAAGCAGGCAGGGGACAAGCCUGGAGCACCCAUGCCAUCAUCCCUUGUCCCCACUGCUGUGCGUUUGUUGAAAGUGUCCCAUCAUGGGUGGGGUCUCUCAUCUUAGAGGAUUCCCUUCCACCGAGCAGGGUGUUUGGGGGUAGCAAGCACCUCACCUGCAUGCCACUGUGAGUGUCUGUGUUGUUCUGGCAAACACUAGACACCCUCUGCACAUUGGCAGGGUCACCAGAUACUUGUGGUUUCACUGCCCCGCACGGCUUUUAGGCACAGAGCCCUGGGCUUGAUUAACUCCAGGCAGGACAACCCACCUGAGGCUGUGCUGGGUCUUGUUAUAUUUACCCUUUGGGGUUGCUGCUUCCCAUAGGGAGAAGGACCUGGCCCUGCUUCACUUGACACUGAGGUGUGGCUGAAACGUCUCCACUGAGUGGCUCAGGCUGUUCUAAAGUCUUUCUAAUAGGCUUCUCCAGGAUGCGUCUUAAGGGAGCUCUGUGUACUCAUCUAAAACAAACAAACAAACAAACAAACAAAACAAAACAACAACACAAACUAAACCUCUUUAAACAAGACUUUUAAGACCCAGUAUGCUAUGGUUUGUUUUUUUUUUUCCCCUAAUAGUCAGUCAUGCUUGGGCAAUAGUUUUAUCUAGACGAAUUCUAAUACAAACUGCUCCUGUCAUCAGUGUAGUUGAUGCCUUGAUCAUCCUAAGUGAAAUGCAGGGAAUCAUUUGCUAUCUGUCUCCAGAGAGUUCAGCUUUCAGAGCUGUUGGUAAUAACUUGGUUCAGGGGUCUUUCAUCUUGCCCAGUGCAGUGCAGAGGCUUGGCAGCUGCACAUUUUGUCAAAUCACUUCUGCUGUCUGACCUGUGAUGGGCAGAGGAAUGUGGUGGCAUGAACACAGAUCGAUUGCUGCCCACCGCCAAUCCUAAUACGUCUAUAUGUGCCUUAGAACUGCUUGGAAGGGAAUCAAGGAAACACAUGGAUAAGGUAGAAUUUGUGUUUGACCAACCAGAGUGUGUAUGAAAGCACAUUCCAUGGAUAUCAUGGCAGGCCUCUGUGUGUGCACAUGAGCGGGCAUGCACUGUGUCUGUGUGACUGUGUGUGUUGAACAUGUACACAGUCUGUGAGCUCUUAGCACUCACUAGAUGCCAGUUUUUUAGUCAGGUUUAUUUCCAUAGAUUGCUAAUUUAUUUAGUGCCCUCCCCAUAAAGGGCUGUGCUAUUCCUGCAGGUGUUCUGAUACCAAGUUAUCGUACAGCUCCAAAACUCCAUUCAAUUUUCAGACAGAGGACAUGCCAGAUAUUAAAGUGAUAAGGACAAAACACUGCACUUGUUCUUAGCCAGCAGCUCUAGAGACUUUUACAAUAGCUCUCUGAUGUAGUUGUUUACCUUGGGCCACUAAUGAGAAAAAUGAGGCCCAUGAGUUUCACCUGCUCAAAGUUCACCCAGCACGGCCUACGGGGACUUAGGCUGCCCUCAGUGCUAUGCUUUCAGCUCCAUCCAGGAGUCAUGUUCAGGCCUCCCCUUCUGCCAUGGCCUUCCCACUAACCACACUAUUCAGAGGAACUGUGGAGAUGGCCUCAUUCCUUGGGCAAACUGAUAAUGAGCACCUGCUUGCCUUCCACUUAUUUCACUGUCUCUUCUUCAUAGAGCUCAGUUGCAGGUGCCUCUGGACAUCUCCCUGGACAGGGUGUUUUCAGUCCAGUCGGCCAUGGGAGCUUUGCCAAGAUGCCAGGCCACUUACCAAGAUGAGAAAAAUGGAACAGAUUUUAAGAAAUUAGUGAUGUAAGUUAGAAAGUCAAGCAAGAGGUUUGCUUAUCACUUGUAGGAGUCUCUCCAUUAGUAUAAUUUCCCUCUAUGAUAAUUUGCUAGCUUUCUUGAGUGCUAGUAGGGCUGGGCUGCAUCCUUGCACCUGUGGCACUUCACGCCUGAGCUGCUACAUGAGAUAGGGCCCAUGCUCUGAGUCAUGGUGGUUAGGUACAAGGGAGGAUGACACAUACUUAUGUGUGCUGUUCAGAUAAUGUGUUGCUUCCUGCCCUCGCUCUCACUUCCUGCUGCCUGAAGCACUUUGUACCUCAUUUUCCUGGUGAACACUCCACCCAUCUUCUAGAGGUAUGGGAUCUGAGACAACUUCUGGGUCUACCACACUCCAGGAAAUCAACCCUUCCUCUUCUGGCUGUCCCAACAUAGUAACUAUAACCACCUUGCCCAAUAUAAAAUCCAUUUGAGCUUGCCAUAGUCUGUGGAUGGCUUGUAUGUUACUGGAGAGAGCCACCUGGCUCAUGAAGCAUACUCCUGUUCCGGAAGGUUGACAGGGAAGUCUAACACCCCGGCCGGGGCUUGGAGAAAGCCUCUGUAAGUAGGCAUGGGGAUUUGUGUUCCACAGCAAAUCAGGCAUGCUUCAGCACCACGGAGAGCUCUCUGCUGGGCUUUCCCCAGUGAGGGUGCUGACCCAGCUGUUUGCAGGCUCUGAUCAUACCCCACCUGUGGGCAGCAGUGCCCUUGCAGCAGAGCAGAGGCUUUGAUUCCUGGGUUCCAGGUUAACAGCGAAGCAUUCACAUGAUGUGUCUAGGAGUGUGUAAAGCACUGUGCAGACUGAAGGCGCAGGGUUACCCUGCUUACACUAAAGCCUUUCUGUUUCCUCCACAGGCCUGAGGAUUUGGGGGUGGUGGGGGUGGUGAGCCUUGGCUACAGAGUUAGACCAGACUGCAGAGUAAGUUCGUCUCUUAAAUAAAAAAAGAGCACAAAACAAAACAAAAAUACCAGAUAUACACACAUGAAAAGCAAUGAAGUAGAAGAAACAGCUCCUGUCCACAGCUAGCAUGUUCUGAUGUCUGCAUUUGAAAAUAGUAUCAGAGAAUAUGCAUGGUGAGUGUUUACCUUGGGCCCCUCCCAUAGGAGGGAAUUUUGGAAAUUUCUCUACAAGAACAAUUCUGUCACCAUUGUAAUUUAUCUUUCGCCCCAAAUGCCAAGAUGUGCAUAUUAAGAGUUAGCUUACUGCCUGCACUACAGUGUUAUGUCAUAGGCAGGUACCUUGGCUGACAGCUUGGCCACUUGCAGAUUUAGGCUCAGGUACCAGACAGCUUUUGGGCUGCAAGGAAGAGGCUGUGUACACACAGGGUGUCAGCUUUGUUAGCUCAACUUUACCUGCUGUGGGUCACAUCUGAAAGUAAAUGAAUUCAGAAUUUGUUAGGAAGAAUGACUUCCUGAGACCAGUGGCACAGACUCCCUGGCUCUUCUUCUCUUGUCCUAGUUUAUCAGGGGAAUGGGCUCUGCUUGUGUGCCAGGGACACUGCUGCUGCCCACCUUGGUUCAAGUUUUUAAUAAAUAAGUAAUGUUUCACCUUAUGAGGUUUUAAUCUCAUGUCAUUGACUAUAAACCUUGGAAUGAGUUAUG